CCCUGCAUUCGAAAGUGAUCGCGGUCUGGUGCGUGACCUGGUCAUUGAUAGUGCAGGAAGAGCAGCCCGGAAGCGUUUCCCGUGUUUGGUGGGUGUGCGGCCAUCCCUCCCAAACCCUGGAGCUUUCACACA
ensembl:snoRNA SNORA71 Small nucleolar RNA SNORA71